rnacentral:rRNA from 1 species
CCAGACUCCUACGGGAGGCAGCAGUGGGGAAUAUUGCACAAUGGGGGAAACCCUGAUGCAGCGACGCCGCGUGAGCGAUGAAGUAUUUCGGUAUGUAAAGCUCUAUCAGCAGGGAAGAAAAUGACGGUACCUGACUAAGAAGCCCCGGCUAACUACGUGCCAGCAGCCGCGGUAAUACGUAGGGGGCAAGCGUUAUCCGGAUUUACUGGGUGUAAAGGGGGCGCAGACGGCAAUGCAAGCCAGGAGUGAAAGCCCGGGGCCCAACCCCGGGACUGCUCUUGGAACUGCAUGGCUGGAGUACGGGAGGGGCAGGCGGAAUUCCUAGUGUAGCGGUGAAAUGCGUAGAUAUUAGGAGGAACACCGGUGGCGAAGGCGGCCUGCUGGACUGUGACUGACGUUGAGGCCCGAAGGCGUGGGGAGCAAACAGGAUUAGAUACCCCUGUA